rnacentral:misc_RNA from 1 species
GAUGAAGAACGUAGCGAAAUGCGAUAAGUAGUGUGAAUUGCAGAAUUCAGUGAAUCAUCGAAUCUUUGAACGCACAUUGCGCCCCUUGGUAUCCCGAGGGACAUGCCUGUUCGAGCGUCAUUUCACCACUCAAGCCUGGCUUGGUGUUGGGCGACGUCCCCUUUGGGGACGCGCCUCGAAACGCUCGGCGGCGUGGCACCGGCUUUAAGCGUAGCAGAAUCUUUCGCUUUGGAAGUCGGGGCCCCGUCUGCCGGAAGACCUACUCGCAAGGUUGACCUCGGAUCAGGCAGGGAUACCCGCUGAACUUAAGCAUAUCAAUAAGCGGAGGA